GGGAUACCUGUUUCCAUACUAUUUAUCUGGAUCAUUUGGGCCCUUUCAUGAAAACUGAAAAUGAUAAUAAGUAUAUAAUAAGCUUAAUUGAAUUAUGUAAAGCGAUUGCAAUGAAUGUCGACGAGGACAUCAACAUUGUCAGGAAGAGCCAAAUUGUAGCAACAGAUGCAUUCUGUUUAUGUUUAUUGGGGUUGUUAAGUGUCUGUAAUUGGAUGCAUCCGGGGACUAGGGACGAGUUAAAGUUGUUAGAGAAGUGAAACCUUAUUGUAGAGUACGUUUGGACUCCAAACAAAGAACACCACACU
rnacentral:lncRNA from 1 species